CAACGAGAAGCGAACCUGCGAAGGCAAGCGGAUCUCUUAAAGCCGUUCCCAGUUCGGACUGUAGGCUGCAACUCGCCUACACGAAGCUGGAAUCGCUAGUAAUCGCGGAUCAGCACGCCGCGGUGAAUACGUUCCCGGGCCUUGUACACACCGCCCGUCACACCAUGAGAGUCUGUAACACCCAAAGCCGGUGGGAUAACCUUUAUAGGAGUCAGCCGUCUAAGGUAGGACAGAUGAUUAGGGUGAAGUCGUAACAAGGUAGC
rnacentral:rRNA from 1 species